rnacentral:rRNA from 1 species
AGUGAACGCUGGCGGUAGGCCUAACACAUGCAAGUCGAACGGCAGCACAGUAAGAGCUUGCUCUUACGGGUGGCGAGUGGCGGACGGGUGAGGAAUACAUCGGAAUCUACUUUUUCGGGGGGGAUAACGUAGGGAAACUUACGCUAAUACCGCAUACGACCUACGGGGGAAAGCAGGGGAACUUCGGACCUUGCGCGAUUGAAUGAGCCGAUGUCGGAUUAGCUAGUUGGCGGGGUAAAGGCCCACCAAGGCGACGAUCCGUAGCUGGUCUGAGAGGAUGAUCGGCCACCCUGGAACUGAGACACGGUCCAGACUCCUACGGGAGGCAGCAGUGGGGAAUAUUGGACAAUGGUCGCAAGCCUGAUCCAGCCAUACCGCGUGGGUGAAGAAGGCCUUCGGGUUGUAAAGCCCUUUUGUUGGGAAAGAAAAGCAGCAGGUUAAUACCCCGCUGUUCUGACGGUACCCAAAGAAUAAGCACCGGCUAACUUCGUG